UACAGAGGGGGCGAGCGUUGUUCGGAAUUACUGGGCGUAAAGGGCGCGUAGGCGGCCUGCUAAGUCGGACGUGAAAUCCCUCGGCUCAACCGGGGAACUGCGUCCGAUACUGGUUGGCUUGAAUUCGGGAGAGGGAUGCGGAAUUCCAGGUGUAGCGGUGAAAUGCGUAGAUAUCGGGAGGAACACCGGUGGCGAAGGCGGGGUCUCUGGACAGUUCCUGACACUGAGACACGAAGGCCAGGGGAGCAAACGGGG
rnacentral:rRNA from 1 species